UCUUCCCCUCCCUCAGAAAAAAAAAACCCUAACUCAAGUUGCGCCUCCCUCAGAAAAAAAACCCUCACUCAAGAUUUAACGAAGGAAUCAGUUUCAGUAUGAAGUAAAUCAGAAAUCCUACAUCCUCAUUGUUGAAGAAACGAAACCAAAUCUCAAGAUCUCUUCAAAAUGUUUCAAUUAAAAGUCAAAAUCGAACUCCAAAUUUCUCUUCUCGCUCUGUUUUCUAACUCUGCAAUUCGUGAAACCCUAACCCAAGUUUCGUUUGCUUCCAUUGCUUCAAAUUAGGUGGAGAUUUUGUCAUUGCUACUGCUACAGAUCGAGAAGAAGAGGAGGAUUACUCUGAAUAGAAGCUAGGGUUUGUGUGAUUCGAUUUGACAUUGAAGAUUUGAAGAUUUAUUGGUUUCCAUCAAGAAUAGAAAAUCUAGGGUUUGUGUUUGUUGUUGGUUUUGAUGAGAUGGAUGGCUAUUUGAAAGUUUGAGAAGGAAUUGAUGAUAUUAAUGGGUCUUUGCAGUAAUGAAUUUGACACCAGAUACGGUGAUUGAGAUGAUUUCUUUAUUAUUUAGAUAAAGGUCAACUCUUUUGUUGAAUUUGUUUGAAGGGUUUGUUGAAUCUGUUUGAAGCAGAGAAGGAGAUCUGUAAUAAGAUGAGUUGCAACAGAGUUAUGACGAGAUUGAGAAGAAUCAGUUGCAGAUGGUGAAUUAGGAUUCUGAAAUAAGAUCGAAUUGGAUGAAUUUGGGGGUUUCUUUUGGUUGAUGGUUGUUUGCUGAUACUAAAAUUGUUUGAGAUGGAGAUAAUGCUAUUGUGUCGUGUUAUUUGGAAGUCUGGGAAGGAAUAAAAGAUGGGUCUGAAACGAAUUGAAGUUUCUGGUUGUGAGCUGCUGAUGGGACUGACAGAGACUGGUGUUGUUGAUGACUGAGAUUUGACUGUGUGUAUGGAAUUGCAGUGAUGGGUUGAGAUGGAAUUGUAUGUUAUGUUAAGAUGGGUUUGUAGUGUAUGGCUGUGGUUCUGGUGGUGUUCAUUGUUGCCAUCAGUUGAUAACAAGAACGGGUUUGUGGCUAUGUAGGUUUGUUGAUCUUAAUGGUGCAGGAAAUCAAUGUUGAAGAUAAAGAUCAUACUAAAGCUGCAGGGAGUAAAUGGAGAAUGGGUGAAGCUCUGCUGGUGAUAUGAAGGAUUUAGAUGAAUUUUAGGUGGUCUGUAGUGGUAGCUGUUGUGUUACAGGUUGGGAGAAGGCAGAAAAUGCAGCGGUGUCCUUCAAGAAGCGGCUUGAAACUGCAGUUCAGAAGAAUUCAGCGCUUGAAGAUCAGGUAGGUCUUCUCGAUGGGGUUUUGAAGGAGUGUGUCAGACAGCUUAGGCAAGCAAGAGACAUACAAGAACAAAAGUUUCAUGAAGCUAUCAUUUAGGCUUUUGAGAUUGACCAUUUGAUGCUCCCCACAAGAGAUUAUCUCUUUGGUCCAUCGUACGACAAUAUAUGCCGUCUUGUAGACUUCAUCCACAAGAAUGCUGCAAGUGAGAAGCACUACCAUGUUCAUUGUAAAUUUGAUUAAGGAUGAUUGUCUGAUUAAUUAGCUCUCUUAGAAUCCACUGUGGGCAUUAUCCGUGGUGUUAGUUUAUGCGUUAGGUAAUAAUUUUAAGUUUACACCCUUACUGUGUUGGAUAUUUAGAAGUUUUUUUUCUUGUUGGUUAGCUUGUAGGUAUGCUAUAACUCUCAUAGUUUUAGAUUCAUAUUCCCCCUUGGUGAUUAAAUGUGUGCUGAUUUGCCUUUAUGACACGCUUUUUAGAUAUUAUCAUAGAAUUUUUUAAAUUGUUCUGUGUUAUUUCGGAUUGUCUCAUUCCUUCAUUUAUCACCAUGAUUACAUUUUCUUGAAGCGGUCGGGAUUGGUUCUGAACCAACUGAACCUCAGCUGAACAAGUUGUGCCUAGCACAUAAUGUCGUCAUUUCUGAAUCUAGAGCCUAGAAAGCUAAGCAAGAGUUUACCUUUUCUGCUUUUGGCUUUUUUGAUAUUUCCUGUGUAUUACAACAUGUAAAUAUUAUUAGGUGCAAGUUUCUGAGAAGUGUAUAUUAUGCCUAUUGCAGGUAACCUUUUAUUCAUUGGGCAUGCCAUUUCUUCCAAGAUGGAUGUGCUGAGUUUGAGUAUCAGAGGAGGCCCUAAUACUCAGGGUUUUCUUUAUAUUGAGAAGGUAAACAUUUCAUGGAUAACUUACUUGGUUGUUUAAAAUAAUAGAAUUAUCGUUUAUGAAAGAUCUUGUUAACUUGGUAUAUUAUUUCGGUUUCUUUGUGUUCUGCGUUGCCAUUGUUAAAUUGUUAUAUGAACUAAUCUCUCAGCGUGUUUUGUGUAGGAUUCAUGAAGAGAAUAACUUGGUAUAUUAUUUCGGUUUCUUUGUGUUCUGCGUUGCCAUUGCUAAAUUGUUAUAUGAACUAAUCUCUCAGCGUGUUUUGUGUGGGAUUCAUGAAAAGAAUGAUAUCUCAAGAUCGUAAGGAGUGUAGGUAAUAACGGGAUAGAUUGCAAAUGGAGAAAUGGAUGAAGCUCAGCAAAUUGAGAAAUGUAUGCAUUGCAGGUCUGUGUUUCUGGUUAGAUUGUAGCCUGGAACUCCGACAGGUUCAGGGUGAUCGGAGGGCACCUUUUUUUUCUUUGAAUGUAACGAAUAUUCUAACGGAAAUAACCGGAUCAAUUUUUGAAAGCUGUGACUAAAUAAAGACACGUGUCUUUCUUUUGAA